GUACACUCCUACGGGAGGCAGCAGUGGGGAAUUUUGGACAAUGGGCGAAAGCCUGAUCCAGCAAUGCCGCGUGAGUGAAGAAGGCCUUCGGGUUGUAAAGCUCUUUUGUCAGGGAAGAAACGGUGAGAGCUAAUAUCUCUUGCUAAUGACGGUACCUGAAGAAUAAGCACCGGCUAACUACGUGCCAGCAGCCGCGGUAAUACGUAGGGUGCAAGCGUUAAUCGGAAUUACUGGGCGUAAAGCGUGCGCAGGCGGUUUUGUAAGUCUGAUGUGAAAUCCCCGGGCUCAACCUGGGAAUUGCAUUGGAGACUGCAAGGCUAGAAUCUGGCAGAGGGGGGUAGAAUUCCACGUGUAGCAGUGAAAUGCGUAGAUAUGUGGAGGAACACCGAUGGCGAAGGCAGCCCCCUGGGUCAAGAUUGACGCUCAUGCACGAAAGCGUGGGGAGCAAACAGGAUUAGAAACCCCUGUAGUCCCAUGA
rnacentral:rRNA from 1 species